rnacentral:tRNA from 1 species
GCAUUGAGGGUUCAGUGGUAGAAUUUUUGCCUUCCACGUAGGAGACCCAGGUUUGAUUCCUGGUCAAGGCA